CACAUAAAGUUGCAAUCAGACCAGAGAUUUCUUUAGUUUGGAAUCCAUGAUUAACAAUGGGUUCACUCAGGUUUUGGUUGAAGUUCUGAUGGGCAAUGGCAUACACAAAAACAUGCCAGGGUUGUUGUUUUUUUAGUGGGAAGAUAAAUCAUUAGUUAAUAAAUGCAAUUUAGUGGAAUAGCUCUUUUUGAACGUGACCCACAGAGAAAGAAUAAAGGACGCUUGGCUUUGAGGAAGUUAGGAAUGGCUAGUGUACAUGUGUGUGCAUGUUGCCCAACCUAUCGGCCUUCAAAACCCUGUCUUUAUUUUUAAAUUACAUGAUGCUUUUAUUUGACUUUAAGUCAGUACAUUUCUCCUUGAUUAUUAAAAUGUUUUACCAACUUUGUAUAUAAUAUUGGAUUCUACUUUAUUCCUCAGAAUCAUCACAAUCU
rnacentral:lncRNA from 1 species